CGUUCCCGGACCUUGUACACACCGCCCGUCAAGCCAUGGAAGCUGGGUGUACCUAAAGUCGGUAACCGCAAGGAGCCGCCUAGGGUAAAACUAGUAACUGGGGCUAAGUCGUAACAAGGUAGCCGUACCGGAAGGUGCGGCUGGAAUACCUCCUUUUUAGAGCU
rnacentral:rRNA from 1 species